rnacentral:lncRNA from 10 species
ACUGGAAUCCUUCCUCCCAAAGUGAGAGGUCGGAUUCCCCCAAGGGCAAGAAGAAGGAGCAGCAGAUGCCCAGAGAGGCACUGAUGCUCCUCCUCUCAUAUAAAGUCCCCUGGUGAGCAGGGCUUUGGACUAGGGGUGGGGAUGGUGUAAAUGCCUGGGCACCAAGCACUAGGACUUCAGUCUCUAGGGCCACAGAGGGGGUCCUUCUGCUUAGCCAGGCUCUGGGGCAGUGCAUAUAGCCAGUAGGGCCAGCCUCUUUUUCUUGGAUUGGUAAGCCCUGUAGUGGAAGCUUCUGAGAGUGGCUGAUGUGGGCAGCUCAAUUUUGCCCAGACUGUGUAAGCCCUUGAGUCCUGGUACAAGCCCAGGAACAAAGAGGAGUCACUGGGGGAAAAAAGCCAGACAUUAGAAGUGGGGGCUUAAAGCAGGUUUUAUCCAAUUAAAAAAGAAAGAAAUAUGGCAUUUUUUACAUCUUGGGUAUCACAGAAAAAUUCAUACCUUUCAACAGAUUAAAUUAUUAUCAAGGCUGGGCAUGGUGGCUCAUGCCUAUAAUCCCAGCACUUUGGGAGGCUGAGGCAGAUGAGUUGCUUGAGCCCGGGAGUUCGAGACCAGCCUGGGCAACAUGUUGAAAUCCCAUCUUCACUAAAAAUACAAAAAUUAGCUGGGCAUGAUGGUGCAUGCAUGUAAUCCCAGCUAACUGGGAG